rnacentral:rRNA from 1 species
GACAGAGGAUGCAAGCGUUAUCCGGAAUGAUUGGGCGUAAAGCGUCUGUAGGUGGCUUUUUAAGUUCGCCGUCAAAUCCCAGGGCUCAACCCUGGACAGGUGGUGGAAACUACCAAGCUAGAGUACGGUAGGGGCAGAGGGAAUUUCCGGUGGAGCGAUGAAAUGCGUAGAGAUCGGAAGGAACACCCAAGGCGAAAGCGCUCUGCUGGGCCGACACUGACACUGAGAGACGAAAGCUAGGGGAGCAAAUGGG